GCAGUCGAGGGAGAACCUUUCGAUCCGUAAGGACCGAAUGGGGAAACCGGCGAACGGGUGCGUAACACGUGAGGAACCUGCCCCGAAGACCGGGAUAGCCCGAGGAAACUCGGAUUAAUACCGGAUACCCUCCUCGGACCACAUGGUCUGUUGAGGAAAUGGUCCGCCGCUUCGGGAUGGCCUCGCGGCCUAUCAGCUUGUUGGUGAGGUAACGGCUCACCAAGGCAAAGACGGGUAGCUGGUCUGAGAGGACGAUCAGCCACACUGGGACUGAGACACGGCCCAGACUCCUACGGGAGGCAGCAGCAGGGAAUAUUGCACAAUGGGCGAAAGCCUGAUGCAGCGACACCGCGUGCGGGAUGAAGGCCCUCGGGUUGUAAACCGCUUUCAGGAGGGACGAAAAUGACGGUACCUCCAGAAGAAGGCCCGGCCAACUACGUGCCAGCAGCCGCGGUAAUACGUAGGGGCCAAACGUUGUCCGGAUUUAUUGGGCGUAAAGGGCUCGUAGGCGGUUCAACAAGUCGAUCGUGAAAGCCCGGGGCUCAACCCCGGGACGCCGGUCGAAACUGUUGUGACUAGGGUCCGGUAGAGGUGAGUGGAA
rnacentral:rRNA from 1 species